UACGUAGGGGGCAAGCGUUAUCCGGAUUUACUGGGUGUAAAGGGAGCGUAGACGGUUGUGCAAGUCUGAAGUGAAAGCCCGCGGCUCAACUGCGGAACGGCUUUGGAAACUGUGUAACUGGAGUGCUGGAGAGGUAAGCGGAAUUCCUGGUGUAGCGGUGAAAUGCGUAGAGAUCAGGAGGAACACCGGCGGCGAAGGCGGCUUACUGGACAGUAACUGACGUUGAGGCUCGAAAGCGUGGGGAGCAAACA
rnacentral:rRNA from 1 species